UCCGGUGUAGCUCAAUGGUAGAGCAAGCGACUGUUAAUCGCUUGGUUCCUGGUUCGAAUCCAGGCACCGGAGCCA
rnacentral:tRNA from 1 species